rnacentral:rRNA from 1 species
GACGAACGCUGGCGGCGUGCUUAACACAUGCAAGUCGAACGAUGAAGAAAAGAAUCGAAGCUUCGGCAGAAAUUCAUUUCGGAUUAGUGGCAGACGGGUGAGUAACGCGUGAGCAACCUACCUCUUACAAGGGGAUAGCCUCGGGAAACCGGGAUUAAUACCAUAUAACAUUGCGACGAAGCAUUUCGAUGCAAUCAAAGCUACGGCGGUAAGAGAUGGGCUCGCGUCCCAUUAACCGGAUGGUGAGGUAACGGCUCACCAUAGUGACGAUGGGUAACCGGCCUGAGAGGGUGAACGGUCACACUGGAACUGAGACACGGUCCAGACUCCUACGGGAGGCAGCAGUGGGGAAUAUUGCACAAUGGAGGGAACUCUGAUGCAGCGACGCCGCGUGAGUGAUGAAGGAAUUCGUUUCGUAAAACUCUGUUCUAUGGGAAGAAAAGGACUGUACCAUAGGAGAAAGCUCCGGCUAAAUACGUG